rnacentral:miRNA from 1 species
CUUCCGUCGGAGCUGGGUAGA